rnacentral:rRNA from 1 species
UACGUAGGGUGCAAGCGUUUAAUCGGAAUUACUGGGCGUAAAGCGUGCGCAGGCGGUUAUGUAAGACAGGUGUGAAAUCCCCGGGCUUAACCUGGGAACUGCAUUUGUGACUGCAUAGCUAGAGUACGGUAGAGGGGGAUGGAAUUCCGCGUGUAGCAGUGAAAUGCGUAGAUAUGCGGAGGAACACCGAUGGCGAAGGCAAUCCCCUGGACCUGUACUGACGCUCAUGCACGAAAGCGUGGGAGCAAACAGG